GUAGACCUACAUCACUGGAAACGCCUCAUAGAGUAACUAUGUGGUUUCCUUUACUCACAGAACUACAUGUUAGAUCUGUGGAAAGAACUACAAUACAGAG
rnacentral:snoRNA from 1 species